AGAGUUUGAUCCUGGCUCAGGAUUAACGCUAGCGGCAGGCCUAAUACAUGCAAGUUGAACGGGAUUUCGGGUAGCAAUAUCUGAAUGAGAGUGGCGCACGGGUGCGUAACACGUAUGCAAUCUACCUCUGACUGGGGAAUAGCCUUCCGAAAGGAAGAUUAAUACCGCAUAAUAUAAUGAAGUGGCAUCACUUUAUUAUCAAAACUCCGGUGGUCAGAGAUGAGCAUGCGUCCGAUUAGCUAGUUGGUGAGGUAACGGCUCACCAAGGCAACGAUCGGUAGGGGGUCUGAGAGGAUGAUCCCCCACACUGGUACUGAGACACGGACCAGACUCCUACGGGAGGCAGCAGUAAGGAAUAUUGGACAAUGGUCGCAAGACUGAUCCAGCCAUGCCGCGUGAAGGAUGAAUGCCCUAUGGGUUGUAAACUUCUUUUAAACGGGAAAAAACCCCACUACGUGUAGUGGGCUGAUGGUACCGUAAGAAUAAGGAUCGGCUAACUUCGUGCCAGCAGCCGCGGUAAUACGAAGGAUUCGAGCGUUAUCCGGAUUUAUUGGGCGUAAAGAGUCCGUAGGUAGUCAUUCAAGUCUGCUGUUAAAGAGCGAGGCUUAACUUCGUAAAGGCAGUGGAAACUGGAAGACUAGAGUGUAGUAGGGGCAGAGGGAAUUCCUGGUGUAGCGGUGAAAUGCGUAGAGAUCAGGAAGAACACCGGUGGCGAAGGCGCUCUGCUGGGCUAUAACUGACACUGAGGGACGAAAGCUAGGGGAGCGAAUGGGAUUAGAUACCCCAGUAGUCCUAGCGGUAAACGAUGGAAACUAGGUGUGGCCUGUAUCGACCCGGGCCGUGCCGAAGCUAACGCGUUAAGUUUCCCGCCUGGGGAGUACGCACGCAAGUGUGAAACUCAAAGGAAUUGACGGGGGCCCGCACAAGCGGUGGAGUAUGUGGUUUAAUUCGAUGCAACGCGAAGAACCUUACCAGGACUUGACAUCUCUGGAAUCCUGCUGAAAGGUGGGAGUGCCGUAAGGAACCAGAAGACAGGUGCUGCAUGGCUGUCGUCAGCUCGUGUCGUGAGAUGUUGGGUUAAGUCCCGCAACGAGCGCAACCCUCGUCGUUAGUUGCCAUCAUUAAGUUGGGAACUCUAGCGAGACUGCCGGUGACAAACCGGAGGAAGGUGAGGAUGACGUCAAGUCAGCAUGGCCCUUACGUCCUGGGCGACACACGUACUACAAUGCGAGGGACAGAGAGCAGCCAACCCGCGAGGGAGAGCGAACCUCUUAAACCCUGGCACAGUUCAGAUUGCAGGCUGCAACUCGCCUGCAUGAAGGAGGAAUCGCUAGUAAUCGCAGGUCAGCAUACUGCGGUGAAUCCGUUCCCGGGCCUUGUACACACCGCCCGUCACACCAUGGAAGUGAGCCACGCCCGAAGUCAUUACUCUAACCCGCAAGGGGGGAGGGUGCCGAAGGCGGGGUUGAUGACUGGGGUGAAGUCGUAACAAGGUA
rnacentral:rRNA from 1 species